UACGAACUGUGCGAACGUUAUUCGGGAUCACUGGGCUUACAGGGUGCGUAGGCGGCUUGUUAAGUAGGGUGUGAAAGCCCCCGGCUCAACCGGGGAAUUGCGCCCUAAACUGGCGAGCUGGAGUGAGAUAGGGGUGUGUGGAACUUCCGGUGGAGCGGUGAAAUGUGUUGAUAUCGGAAGGAACGCCGGUGGCGAAAGCGACACACUGGUUCUUGUCUGACGCUGAGGCACGAAAGCCAGGGGAGCGAACGGG
rnacentral:rRNA from 1 species